GCCGCGAGGCGACGGCGUUCUCGCCGGAUGUAGGAACCGACCCGGGGACCGCCGGGGGCAACCCAGCGCCCCCGAGACGGGGCGAACCACGGUGAAAUGACGGAUCCGUCGGCCCCGCGCCGGCGACUCGCCGAAUGAGUUUCUGACCUAUCAACUCGAGACGGCGGGGUAGAGGCCCGCCGCGGUAACGACGGGUAACGGGGAAUCAGGGUUCGAUUCCGGAGAGGGAGCCCCGAGAAAACGGCUACCACUUCCAAGGAAGGCAGCAGGCGCGCAACUUACCCUAAUCUCGAUUCGAGGAGGUAGUGACAAGAAAUACCGAUGCGGGACCCUACGGGUGCCGCGUUCGGAAUGAGUACGAUUCGAACCACCUAACGACGGAACGAUCGGAGGGCAAGUCUCGGUGCCAGCAGCCGCGGUAAUUCCAGCUCCAAUAGCGUACGUUAAAGUUGCUGCAGUUA
rnacentral:rRNA from 1 species